rnacentral:lncRNA from 1 species
AAAAAUAAAAAAGAACACACGCACCAACCUUUUUUUUCUUCUUUUAUACUAUUUAAAGGUUAUUUUUUUCAACAUUAACAAGUCAACUAUAUGAAUCACUAAGAGAACACUGAGGAUUUGUUGAUAAGUUAUAAGUGAAACUCCCCUGGCACUCUGAGUCUGAGUAGAGUUGAGGAUCAACGACCAAUUAAUGUCUGCUUAUGUCCUUGCUUGAUACGGUAUGGAACUUGUGUUUAUUUUCUUCCUCUCAUAACUGUUCCCAGGUAACCUAAUGAAACGCCUCUCCUCCAACACAUUCUUCAAUUUAUUUUGUUUACCAUGUUUAAUAUCGAGUUUUUUUUUUUUACACACACAAAAUAUCCUCAGGACCAACAACUCUAUCUAUGUAUGUACUCAUGAAAAGAUGAUACCAAUGCUAUUAUAAAAGUGGGCUCGGAUUUUUGUAGAUGCUACCUAAGUAUAUAUGUCUUAUAUUUCCUUAAGCUGUCAUAAUUAUUAUUUUACUAUUGGUUAUUAUCGCUACGCCUUCACAAAGUCAAUGGAGUCCCAAAAUAAAAUAGUGUUGUCAAAGUUUAAGGAAGGACUUGUGGGAUAUGAUAUUUUUCUUGCCUUAGACCAGGGGUCACCAAGCUUUUUUUUACUGCGGGCCUUAAAUGAAAGAAUGACGAGCGUGAGCCGCAUAAUCAUUCUGUUUUGUCACUUGUAACUGUGACAGAUUCAUUUUCAGCAAAAUUUCACGUGAAGAAGUUUCUAAAAUACAUUUCAUGAACUCAUAAUUAUCAUAGUGUAACGUUCCAGAAAACUUUUAGUAGAUGUUUUUCUUUCUGGUCCUUUGCUUCCAGAAAAAAAAAUACUUGUAUCCUCGCUCUUCUUUGAAAACGCGACUCUUGGUGUCCACUUUUCACUUUUUUUGUAGCCAUAAUGAAGAGUGAAGGAAACAGGAUCUGAAAAGAAAAGAAAGGGAUAAAUUCAUAAUUGUGGGAUACCCAAACGGAGAUGAAGAAAAUGAAUGUAGCUCCUGCUGGUGCUACAUGUGCACUGAAUAUAUAUUUCUUGAAAUGCAUAGAACAAGGCAAAGAUACUCUAUUGUUAUUUAAAAGAUGAUACGCAUGAAAUACACAACAACAAUUUUUCGUGUUCCAUACACUUUAUAAAGCAAAUUCAAGUACCGUCGGAGAGGCAAAUGAACUGACAUCGAGGGCUGGAUCUGGCCUACACGCCGUAGUUUGGUGAACUCUGCCGUCGAAAAGAAAUACAAGUACAUCCAUAAAUUAAUUCUUUUUCCAUGGACUUGGAGCAUGAGGGCUUGGACUGAAACAAUGAACUCAUAUACAGCGUUGAAUAUUGGAUCUAAGGGAUCUUCAAGAGUAAUUAUUUAUGGAAUAUAAAGAGGAUCUAUAAGGAAUCAGAUGCUAAAUAAUUCAUAAUAAUUAUGAAUAUAGGUAGAUAAGAGUAUAUAAUGAAAAAUAUAUCUUAGUAUUUGGCUUCUUAUAUUGAUUAUACUAUGUAGACAUUAUUGAAGAUAACCUCGACGAAAAUGUAUAAAGGCCUCAUUCCUGAGUACACAUUUAAAUUGUGGCACUAAUGGCAUUAUUGCUCUUGAUUUAUUUAUUGCACCGUUGAGUUCACCGUUGUCAUUAGGACUUAAUUCAUGUGCUCGGCGUAGUUAUGAAUUGUUUUCGAUCACCAGAAUUAAUAAACAAAAAUUUUAUUUCAGA